rnacentral:rRNA from 1 species
AACGAACGCUGGCGGCAGGCCUAACACAUGCAAGUCGAGCGAGAUCUUCGGGUCUAGCGGCGGACGGGUGAGUAACGCGUGGGAAUAUGCCUCUUGGUACGGAAUAGCCUCGGGAAACUGGGAGUAAUACCGUAUGUGCCCUUUGGGGGAAAGAUUUAUCGCCAAGAGAUUAGCCCGCGUUGGAUUAGGUAGUUGGUGGGGUAAUGGCCUACCAAGCCGACGAUCCAUAGCUGGUUUGAGAGGAUGAUCAGCCACACUGGGACUGAGACACGGCCCAGACUCCUACGGGAGGCAGCAGUGGGGAAUCUUAGACAAUGGGGGCAACCCUGAUCUAGCCAUGCCGCGUGAGUGAUGAAGGCCGUAGGGUUGUAAAGCUCUUUCAGCUGGGAAGAUAAUGACGGUACCAGCAGAAGAAGCCCCGGCUAACUCCGUG